AUUGAACGCUGGCGGCAUGCCUUACACAUGCAAGUCGAACGGCAGCACGGGAGCAAUCCUGGUGGCGAGUGGCGAACGGGUGAGUAAUAUAUCGGAACGUGCCCAGUCGUGGGGAUAACGUAGCGAAAGCUACGCUAAUACCGCAUACGAUCUAUGGAUGAAAGCGGGGGAUCACAAGACCUCGCGCGAUUGGAGCGGCCGAUAUCAGAUAAGGUAGUUGGUGAGGUAAAGGCUCACCAAGCCGACGAUCUGUAGCUGGUCUGAGAGGACGACCAGCCACACUGGGACUGAGACACGGGCCCAGACUCCUACGGAGGCAGCAGUGGGGAAUUUUGGACAAUGGGCGAAAGCCUGAUCCAGCCAUGCCGCGUGUGUGAAGAAGGUCUUCGGAUUGUAAAGCUCUUUUGUCCGGGAAGAUAAUGACUGUACCGGAAGAAUAAGCCCCGGCUAACUUCGUGCCAGCAGCCGCGGU
rnacentral:rRNA from 1 species